rnacentral:rRNA from 1 species
UGAGUAACGCGUAUGCAACCUACCUUCGGCACGGGGACAGCCCGGGGAAACCCGGAUUAAUACCCGGUAUAGUCUGUUAUACACCUGUAUAAAAGACGAGAGCUACGGCGGCCAAAGAUGGGCAUGCGUGCCAUUAGUUAGUUGGUAGGGUAACGGCCUACCAAGGCAUCGAUGGCUACGGGGUCUAAAAGGAUGAGCCCGCACACUGGUACUGAGACACGGACCAGACUCCUACGGGAGGCAGCAGUGAGGAAUAUUGGUCAAUGGGUGGAAGCCUGAACCAGCCAUGCCGCGUGCAGGAAGACGGCCUUAUGGGUUGUAAACUGCUUUUCUACGGGACGAACGGCUCUGACGUGUCAGAGAUUGACGGUACCGUAGGAAUAAGCAUCGGCUAACUCCGUGCCAGCAGCCGCGGUAAUACGGAGGAUGCGAGCGUUAUCCGGAUUUAUUAGGUUUAAAGGGUGCGUAGGCUGGGCAAUAAGUCAGUGGUGAAAGUCCGCGGCUCAACCGUGGGAUUGCCAUUGAAACUGUUGUUCUUGAGUACAGUCGAGGUAGGCGGAAUGUGUAAUGUAGCGGUGAAAUGCAUAGAUAUUACCCAGAACACCGAUUGCGUAGGCAGCUUACCAGCCUGGAACUGACGCUGAUGCACGAAAGCGCGGGGAGCGAACAGGAUUAGAUACCCUGGUAGUCCACGCCGUAAACGAUGAUCACUCGCUGUUGGCAAUAUAGAGUCAGCGGCUGAGCGAAAGCAUUAAGUGAUCCACCUGGGGAGUACGUCGGCAACGAUGAAACUCAAAGGAAUUGACGGGGGCCCGCACAAGCGGUGGAACAUGUGGUUUAAUUCGAUGAUACGCGAGGAACCUUACCUGGGCUUAAAUGUAGCCGGACGAUUCCGGAAACGGGAUUUCCUUAACGGCUGGUUACAAGGUGCUGCAUGGCUGUCGUCAGCUCGUGCCGUGAGGUGUCGGGUUAAGUCCCAUAAUGAGCGCAACCAUUAUUGUUAGUUGCCAGCGGGUAGAGCCGGGGACUCUAAGGAGACUGCCACCGUAAGGUGUGAGGAAG